rnacentral:ribozyme from 13 species
ACAAGCAGAACGUGAAAGGAAAGAAAUGGAAGCGGAAAAGAAAAGAAGAGAAAAUAAGUUAUUCAAAUCAUUUAUGAAAGUAUAAAAUGAAUUAUUUGAAUUUUUUCUUUUCUUCUCUUUUCUUUUUCGUUUUCA